rnacentral:lncRNA from 1 species
CUGCACCUUUGUCUACGAGGAUCUCCCUGAUACUCAGGGUCUCAUAGCUCAGGAGUGGUGGCCUUUCAACACUUGUUUUAUCUUGAGCUCUCUCUGACAAAAGAGUCCAGAUGACGUGGAACUUACUGGAGCCAAUAACCGGAAGAUGGCAGACCUCGAAAUAGUUUUGGCUGUCAUCCUGACUGUAUUGGCCCUUGCUAUUCUGGCUAUUCUGAUAGCAAGAUGGACGCGGCGCAGACAUGAGGCGCGAGUCUCCAGAUACACUUCAGAACAGAGUGCUGGGCUUCUGGAUCAUGAGGAUGGUAUUUCCCAUGGGAGGCACAAAAGAGGAAGAGGAUCUCGAUGCUCGUUUUCAUCGGAUAGCGCUGGAACCAUUGGACCUAUAAUGCAGUUCUCCGCACCUAUCCCUGGAGCUACGGGACCUAUCAAACUGUCUCAAAAAACCUUCCUGCAAACUCCUGGCCCUCUUGUGCAAUGUAUGGAUUCUAGUGCUCACAGGUUAUCCACAGCCAUCACUGAAGUCUAGCUGUUAUCAGCAAUGUUCAGUCAAGCCUAGCUGCCAACAAGGAAUGAUGCCUCUCUGUGAGUCGCAGACUUUACCCUUAUUAAUUACACAGAGAACUGGAGUGAAAAAGCAUUCAGGCCAGAUGAUGAGGCACGGAGGGAGCGUGACCUUCCAGGAAGACAACGGAGACACAAUGAAGUGGAGAAGAUGCCAGUGCGAGUUCUGCUGUCCUAAGAGAUACGAGUCGCACAUGGCCCACCAGCGACGAGAACCCAUAUGGUGUGAAGAACCAGCGCCGCAGCAGCAGCAGCAACAGCAGCAGCAGCAGCAGCAGCCACAGCAGCAGCAGCAGCAGCAGCAGCCUCCUCCUACUCCUCCUCCACGAAGACAAGAAUCUCAAGUAAGAUUUGACCAAAGAAAUGAAAACUGCUAUGACGCCCAGACCAUUUGUUAUGAAGAACCAUUCCUUUUCAGAAGACUGGAGUCCCUGAUAAGGAAGAACCAAGACGGGAUAGUAAUAAAGCAAAAUGAAGGCGGCCUCCUGAUAAAGAAGGCUGAGGACCACCCAUCAGAACACAAAAAGAAAGGGAAACCCAAGAAGUCAUCAGAACCCCAAGACACUGACUCGGAUUCAAGUGCACCACCAAGCUCAGAUCAACCUGAAGCAAAACCCGAACCACAACCAGACGAAGGGGAGGAGAAGAAACAAAAGAAAGAAAAGAAGAAAAAGAAGAAAAAAGACAAAGGCGAUGGGUGAUAGGGCAAAACACGACCUCCAAUGUGAUCUCCCCAUCAGAUACAAGCCGUGUCUGCCCUCACCCCAGUGCAUCAUGGUUAUCAAAUUCAUUCCCUCUAGACAUCUUCAUUUUUUGCUGUUCUGAGGUUUGCCCUUACUACACCUCCCUGCCGCAAUCUUCAUCUUCCAAAUUUUGCUUUAUUAGUCAAAAUAUAUAAUCCAAUUAAGAAAGAUGGUGUUUUCUGAAAUAAAACCUUUACUAAAUAUCU